rnacentral:lncRNA from 1 species
AAAUCUGUUACAGAGAUUCUUAAGGACUGGUGGGAUCUUGCCUAACACUGAUUUUUCUGAGCUGCUUUUUUCCUCUCUCAAUGUCUUUGAAGGAUUGAGUUGAGCACCUUCAAUGCCGCCUUGUGGCCCACACGUCAUCCGAUGCUGCGUGCUCACACUUCACGGCAUCUCCAGCACCUGCUAGGCCAUGCGUGUCCCUUGGUGACGCCGUGGGGUAGAUCCCUGAUUUCAGUGGCCCUCA